CAUGUUGGUAAAGGUUCGCCUGUUAAGCGGUCUGAUUCAGUGAGGAUCCACCUGAGGAACUGACGUGUUGAUAUUGCAAUCGAAGUUGAGGAACAACAACGAUGGUCUGGAAGAGACAGGGUAGCGAGAGGAGGUUUGGUACACGGAGGGAAGAAGGGGAUUGGUAAGGUCAAGGCGUCAGCAACCGUGUCUGGUGCCCAUGUCGACACAACAAAACUUAAUUUAUUAUUUACCUUUUUUUCUAAGCCCAACAACAUGGUGUAAAUUUGAAUUGGCACAACUAAAUUAAAUUAUUUUGUCUAAAAAAGAUGUCGAGUCAAAAAAUAAAAAGUUAAAUCAAAUAAAUGAAAGAAACAUUAGCUGAUAUAUUUAUAAUGGUUAUCCAGCAGUGGUAAUACAAAUGAUCAGUAACGGUAGCUAUUUUAUAUGACUGGUACUGCUAGUAGAUUUAUAGUGGUUAUCCAGCAGUGGUGAUACAGAUGAUGGAUCUUUUCAAACAUUAGCUGGGCAUAUAUAUCAUCACGGAUAGAUACUUGAUUACAUAUAAAACACAUGACCACAAAGGGAUGUUUAGCACAUAGAUUAUUACAAAAAUAUGAAGCCUAUACAUGUCUUAUUCUUCAGAGCAGGAACAAAAGGGUUAGGGCAUCAUUGGAACUAAACAUGGAGUAUACUGCAGAGGAAACAAAAAGUGGCUUCUCGAGGGGUCACACACGCAUUGUAGGUAAGACAGAUCCAACAAAGGUAAUUAGAAACGGUCUUUCAUAGUUUCCAGCCAUUGUUCUAACUUCAUACCUAUGAAGCGUAAUCUCUUUGCCAAUUCCUCAAUGCCUAUAAGGGCAUGUACAAUAGUAGCAGCACCUAGGUGCUGCCCCAGCUCAGCCACCUAUGGUCAAGGAAAUGAGGCUACCGAUUAGAUUUUUAUCAUCCAACGUUAAACGUGAAGCUACCCUUCUGUGGAACCCACCAUCAUCUUCUUUCCUUUCUGAUUCUCAUCUCUUUUUUCACCUCCUAGGACCAUCUCCAGCUUGCUUUCCCUCUACUUUUCCUCUCUCCCCACUUUCUCUUGGUUUCUCGCAUGGAGCAGCCGGCUCUUCUGCAAGCCACACCAGGACCUGCAGGGCUACCACUUUUUCUACAGCGUGGCAUCCGAACCUAGGUGGACAAUGGGGCAGCAGGUUUGAGGCAGCCCAUUGGCCUUGCCCUAAGUGAUGCUAUCAUAACUCCUUUGGUGUCACCCUGUCCUUUUAGGUGACGAACAGUUGUCGUGUUCUGCAGAAAACAAAAGGGCAGAAGUUGAUGUGACAUAACACAUAACACAUAACAUGUGAAUAAAGAUGACGUCCUUGUGGCACUCAAAGAAAUAGUGCUCAUAUGGUUAAAUACUUAAUCGUAUCCAACUCCCACCGUUCCUAAAUAUAAGUCCUUUUAGAGAUUUCAAUGCGGACUAUAUACAGAACAAAAUAAGUGAAUUUACAUUCUAAAAUAUGUCUAUAUAUAUCCGUAUGUAAUUUGUAUUGGAAUCUCUAAAAAGACUUCUCCUCAUCAAGAAGAUCACAUACACUUUAUCUAUCCUGUACAAUGAGCAUAGGACAAGCUCAGCUAGUGUAACUACCAAUUAGCUAUGUGAUGAACAGCUUAUAAGAAAAUUAACUUUGAUUAUGUGUCUUGCGCCAAGACUACUCCAGAAACAUGCAUGUUGAAUGAAAUGAACAAACAAAUAGCCAAAAGACCAUUGGCUAUCCUUGACUGGCUAGUUGACUAAAUGGCUCAGGAAAAUAAAUUGUCAUGACAUAUUAUAAGUAAUAAAAAGGCAAAAGGCCACAAUAUGUGGUACAUAAUGUUCACAGUCCAUCGGCUUCACCAAACACUAAAAAGGGGUAAGCAUAAAUACACCUCGCUAAUCCCAUGGAGGCACUUCUCACAUAAAAAGGCAAAUGAAUGAAAACAGACAGGUAUCUUGUUUUCCUAGACUUGCAUCCAUGGCGAAAUGACUAUAGAAAAAAGAUGUGUGCUAUAGAUUUGAAGAAAAUACGGGUUCGCCUGUGAGGAAUAUACUAAAAGUCUACAACAAUAAUCAUAGUGAGGUAAUCAAGAAAAUAGUGCAAAUGCCUAAAUCUGAUACGCUAUAGAACUCAUCCUUCCGUAUGUAGUUUUCCUAUCUUCCAUGUGGAAGAGAUUAAGGUAAAUACUAACAGUUCGAAUUUGUUUUAGAAUAUAGGAGAGGCAUAUAUAUAAGUAAACUAAAAGGAAAAACCUACACACACAUGGUGCAACACCAGUCAUGCUAUUUAUUUCAAGCAUCAAUGGUAAAUACUAACUUGCCAAACCUCAUAUGUUUACUAAUUAUGAUACUGAAGAAGAAGUUACUGAAGAACAAACUAAUCAUUCCAGUGCUACAGAAUCAUGAAAAGGAACUGUGAUGAAAACCGAAAGGAAAGACUUAAUUUAUUUUAUUUUAUAUAUAACCAUGGAAGAGCAGCAUUAUAAAUCAUAAGUUGUAGCUCCUAUAAAUCAUAAGUUCCCUCAUAUUGUAAAUAGCGCCCUUGUAUGGAUGGGGGAACUUACUAUCCCAAUGCCACAUAGAUAAUCACAGUAUGUGAACACUGACACAUGAUUGCUCUAGAUUUGAGAUCGUGGCACUCUGCACCUCCAUAUAAAAAUUACCAAUGGGCAAUGUGUGGGAAUUCUCAUGAACAUCAUCACCACUCACUGACCCACCUUCGAGCAUCUCUUAAGGAUUUUGGUGAUGAACCAUCUCAAGGAAAUUUGCAUUCAGGCUAGCAACUUCAAUCCAGUCGUAUGGUCCAACAAAACAAUUCUCUAGUCGGAGAAAAAAUAAGUAAAUAAAAAAUAAAAAACACUCUCUUUUCACCUAGAACUGAAGCUCAGGAAGUUUACUUCCCUUCCUAGCUUCCAACCCUGUCCCUCCUCAGACCUCUCUGAUCUAUACCUUUGUCAUGGAUGGAGCUACACUUGCUCAUGAAGAUGGGUGGAAGCUGGGAAGGGAACAAGAUUGGAGAGAAGACAGUAUCGAACCUAGGAGACAUUAUGCUAUGAGAACAAAUACGAGAAAAAACCAAAGCUCUCCUCUAGCUUGGUCAUGUUUACAUCAACAUAAAUCGUAACAUCAAAUUGCAGGAAUACACUUGACCGUGUGAGAUUAGUAUGAGGCUCAGGCUCCACAUAGUGAUACGAGAGAAUUAUCAUCCAACUUCAUCUAUACUAUGUGUAUAUGAUGACAGCAAGCAUGAGGCUAGCAGCAGGCUUCUAAAUUCUAACCACCGGUAAUAAAUCACCACAUAUGCCCAAAGCUCUAAGCAAAACAAGCCAAUUUGCAGGCAACAUCACACAUCACUUCUCGAGCUAUUUCCUAAGAAAUGCAUCAUAUCGUCAAAAUCACCCAACCAAGGUCGCUAACCCUACAAGCUUUGUCCAGAAUGCAGAAUUGAAGCAGGCAAUCACCUGACGAAACCUCAGAAGAGUGGGGGGUCGAGGCUCAAUGAAGCGGAGGAUGUAGCGGCUAAUAACACCUAAGCAAAGUCUUGAUAGCCAGCUGGUAGCUGAUUUGCCAUUAGUGGAUCAACACAUGUUCAAUAUACAUGUCCCCUGAUGUCAUUUUCAACAGCAUAGCCUGAGUUUGCAGUAACAACAAGAUCUUUACUUCUCUAUCAUCAAAGAGUACUAACAAUUACUAUGUAGUCAGCCUGCCUAAUCAUUUCCCAUGAAGGCAAAAGCAGCAGCCAUACACCAACAAACAUAGAGAUAACAGAAAUUAGUAGUUGCAAAACCACACAUAAGCGUUGGAUGAAACAAACAACUUUCUAGAGGAAGUGGAAAAUCUUUCUCAAAAAAAAAGGCAGUGGAAAAUCCCUAAAUAUAAAAAUAUAUUCACAGAUGCAAACAAUGUACAUGAGUAAACAAACAAUUUUAGAAAUCCUAAAGGAACAUCUACAAAAGGAACAUGUACAUGAGUAAACAAUGUAAACAUAUUACAAGCAAGCAUCCGGAUUUCUUAACAGUACCUUCCACAUCUCGCUCUCUUAAGAACAUGAUUUCCUCCAUCUCAUGUACACACCAACAAAGACCAGGAUUUGGACAUGAAGACCAGCAUCGAUGGCUAAUCCUAGUCGCCUUUUGCCGCUUGCAUCUGGCUGGAAUAAAACACCAAGCACAAAAAGUAACAACUCUGAUUGAAGAGAAUAUGCGCAAAAUAAAGGAAAUCUACACACUGUUACCUAGACCAAUGAAGCACUGAUAAAGCGACAGAUACGACAACACUGUUAAGGGGAUACGGGAUAUGGCGAUUUCCAGAAACAGUCAUUUUGCAAUGCAUCGAGUAUGUGUAAAUAACUAAUAAAAAGCCAUAUAGUAGGGCAAAGAGUAAUUGAAUGUGUGAGAUGAGAUCAAAAUAAUACCCCAUUUGUUGCCUCCAUGCUUCUUUUCAAGUCGUCAAUCGACCAAUGGUCAUUAAUUUCCUUAAUCUUUGUGUUACGGUCAAACGCAUCAUAAUUGAAUGUCGUUAUUGUCACUCCAUAGGCAGCACAGAAACAACAUCACCAGCAAGUAACAGCAUUAUACCACAC
rnacentral:lncRNA from 1 species